UCUGGUUGAUCCUGCCAGUAGUCAUAUGCUUGUCUCAAAGAUUAAGCCAUGCAUGUCUAAGUACAAACCUUAAUACGGUGAAACCGCGAAUGGCUCAUUAAAUCAGCUAUGGUUCCUUAGAUCGUCUCAUCCUACUCGGAUAACUGUGGAAAAUCUAGAGCUAAUACGUGCUUACAAGCCCUGACCUCACGGGAGGGGCGCAUUUAUUAGAUCAAAACCAAUCGGGGCUUGCCCCGUCUGCUUGGUGACUCUGGAUAACUUUUGUGCUGAUCGCAUGGCCUCUGCGCUGGCGACGUAUCUUUCAAGUGUCUGCCCUAUCAACUUACGAUGGUAGGUGAUAUGCCUACCAUGGUUAUAACGGGUAACGGGGAAUCAGGGUUCGAUUCCGGAGAGGGAGCCUGAGAAACGGCUACCACAUCUAAGGAAGCAGCAGCAGGCGCGCAAAUUACCCACUCCCGGCACGGGGAGGUAGUGACGAAAAAUAACGAUACGGGACUCUUUUGAGGCCCCGUAAUUGGAAUGAGUACACUUUAAAUCCGUUAACAAGUAUCUAUUGGAGGGCAAGUCUGGUGCCAGCAGCCGCGGUAAUUCCAGCUCCAAUAGCGUAUAUUAAUGUUGCUGCAGUUAAAAAGCUCGUAGUUGGAUCUGAGGACUCGAAUUGGUGGUGCACCAUACGGUGUUACUGCCGAUUCGGCCUACCUAGUCGGUGCUCGCUCUUGGUGUUCUUAAUUGAAUGCCCUGAGUGCCCGGCAAGUUUACUUUGAAAAAAUUAGAGUGCUCAAAGCAGGCCAUUAGCCGGAAUACUUCAGCAUGGAAUAAUGGAAUAGGACUUCGGUUCUAUUUUGUUGGUUUUCGGAACCCGAGGUAAUGAUUAAGAGAGACAGACGGGGGCAUUCGUACUGCGGUGUUAGAGGUGAAAUUCUUGGAUCGCCGCAAGACGAACAACUGCGAAAGCAUUUGCCAAGAAUGUUUUCAUUAAUCAAGAACGAAAGUCAGAGGUUCGAAGACGAUCAGAUACCGUCCUAGUUCUGACCAUAAACGAUGCCAACUGGCGAUCCGAGAUCGUUUGCUUAUUGACCUCUCGGGCAGCCUCCGGGAAACCAAAGUUUUUAGGUUCCGGGGGUAUGGUUGCAAAGCUGGAAACUGUUCAAUUGCAACUCUGCCUGUGACACCAAGUGGUCGGGUUACUUGGUCUGUUCUGGCCCGGAGUCGGUAGGGUUUCCGGCCUUGUGCUCUUUCCUUACUGUUCUCUGUAACGCCGAAGGCGGGGCUUCCACGGUGGGGAAGCGGUUGUACAAAUCCGGCAAAUCCAGCCAAAUGGGUUCCGGACUCUGUCCAACCUGCAACUGGUAACAGCCUCGGCUGGCUAACAUUUGAGCUGGGACUCGCUUGGGAGGAGCGAGGAUAAUAUAAACCUCUAUGUGACUGAGGUGAGGAAUCUGGUUCUCGUAAAAUGGCUGGAGAUCCCGAGCCUGUAAGUCAUAAAUUAGUUCCCCCACGAGGGAGGUGUCGAAUUGAAGCCAGUGCGUGCCCUUACUAGUUUAAGGGAUUGUAUACUUCCUUUGGUGUACCCACCUGGAAGUGCCCAAGGGGUCCUAUCCCUGCACU
rnacentral:rRNA from 1 species